rnacentral:rRNA from 1 species
GGAUUAGAUACCCUGGUAGUCCACGCCUUAAACGAUGGGCACUAGGUGUCGCGGGUAUUGACCCCUGCGGUGCCGCAGCUAACGCAUUAAGUGCCCCGCCUGGGGACUACGGCCGCAAGGUUAAAACUCAAAGGAAUUGACGGGGGCCCGCACAAGCGGUGGAGCAUGUGGUUCAAUUCGACGCAACGCGCAGAACCUUACCUGGGCUAGACAACAUCGGACCGGCCUGGAAACAGGUCUUUCCCUUCGGGGACUGGUGGUUCAGGUGCUGCAUGGCUGUCGUCAGCUCGUGUCG